rnacentral:rRNA from 1 species
CCUACGGGAGGCAGCAGUGGGGAAUAUUGCACAAUGGGCGAAAGCCUGAUGCAGCAACGCCGCGUGAAGGAAGAAGGGUUUCGGCGCGUAAACUUCUAUCAACAGGGACGAAAGAAAUGACGGUACCGGAAUAAGAAGCACGGGCUAACUACGUGCCAGCAGCCGCGGUAAUACGUAGGGGGCAAGCGUUAUCCGGAAUUACUGGGGGUAAAGGGUGAGUAGGCGGCAUGGUAAGCCAGAUGUGAAAGCCUUGGGCUUAACCCGAGGAUUGCAGUUGGAACUAGAAAGCUAGAGUACAGGGGAGGAUGGCGGAAUUCCUAGUGUAGCGGUGAAAUGCGUAGAUAUUAGGAAGAACACCAGUGGCGAAGGCGAGUUUCUGGACUGAAACUGACGCUGAGGCACGAAAGCGUGGGGAGCGAACAGGAUUAGAUACCCCUGUAGUC